UCUGGGGUCGUCCAACGGUAGGACGCGGGACUCUGACUCCCGUUAUCGAGGUUCGAAUCCCCGCCCCAGAGCCA
rnacentral:tRNA from 1 species